ACCCUCAACCUUUAAUGUCCUGCCCGGACCCUUGUUGGCAUUCCAUGAUGCUUGACACAGAAGGAAGCUAGAGAUGGCUAUGAGGGUUUGCUGGAACCUUACCAGAGUCAUGUCUCAUGGGCCGUAGGCCAGCCUGUUUCUAACAGAGAAUAUGUCUAUGUUGCCCCCAAGGAUGUGGCUACUUUUCUGUUCCCCAAUGAGGCCAUUGUCCAGAGACGGGAACUAGAGCAUUCCUCUGCUCUGAUUUCCAGGAACGGUGAAUGACACCGGGAGUGAUUAGCUGAAACCAAGGAGAGGUCUUUGGGCUCUACCUGCAGAAGAUUCAUCUCGAAAAAGAAAGACCUGUUUCCACAACCGUUUCUGCUUUAUACAUGCCUUUUUCAAAUGCCUUCUAUUUGGGGAAAACCUUUCAGCUUUCAGCCUUUUCCCCUCCGGGCUUCUGACCUCUCACCUACUUUGAAUGAUUCACUCAGGCUAUUCAUUGCCCUGGAAUGUUGGCUUUGGCAAGGGACCGCAAGUCUCUUAAAAUAAACACAACUGCGCUUUCAUCCCACAGAGAUCACUGCUGGCUGCAUAUUUCACACACUGUAUGGCAGGAUAUGUUAAAUUAAAAUCAUAAUCUCCCAAGUGAAAUCCAGGGCCUGGUUAAGCCACGCGAGAAUUACUCAUGCAUUUCCUUCCAAAGAAGUGUAUGAGUAAGAUCUUCAGCCAUUAAGUCUCCCAGGUAAUAGUCUCAUCCCCUCCCAACUAUCCUAGCCCACAGUAAAUGAAACCCAUCCAGAAGGAGGUCAUUCGCAAAGGAAGAAGUCAAGGCCAACACCCUGUGAAAUAGGUGGGUCCUAGAGAGGUGAGUUGGAAUUACUUUGUCAGUUCUUUCAAGCGCAUCUCGAAGUUCCCCUCCAAUCCUGCCAAGACAAUAUACCCAACCCAUAUGGAUUAAACACUCUGUUCAGCAUGAUGUUAAAUGCUCUGGGCAGUUCAAAGGAAUGUAUGACACUGAGCUUUCAGGAGCUUAAAGGGUUGUGGGUGAUCGAUAAGAUUAACAUGCCAAAAAUAGUAACAAAGGCCGGGUGCAAGGCAGUAGUGAUGGGAAGAAGCAAAGGCCUUUCUCCAAGGGGAGUCUGGGGCGUGACUUCUCCCAGCUGUGUGACGGCAGAAUAAACCUUUGGUUUCCAGAGUAUCUCGUAGGUUUCUCGCCUACGCAGUGGAGGAUAUUACACUAACCUUCCUGAGCUCACAGAGUGGUCGUCAUGACAGAUAAAGAAGAUAAAGCCGCCGUGUAUAAGACCACCCAUUAUGGCUUAUGAUAAAACAAGCGGGCCAACUUAAGAAGAAUUCAGAAUCCCUUUGAAAGCAGUCAAACCUUCAAAAUUGCCUGAGAUCAGUUCUGGUUUGCUGAAGAUUCUGUGUUCGUUACUGACCGUAUCAGCCACUGGCCAAAGAAGUAAGGUUCCUUUGCAGUUCUAAGAGCCUGGAUAUAUACUUAUUUUACAAGUAAUGAAGUGAAAGGGAAUGAGUCCAGCAUUUCCUUUCCAGCAGUCAAAAAUAGAAUAAUUGGGGAAGGGGAGGUUUAAGCAUAAUUAUCUUAAGCUCCUUUAAAUCACUUCACUCUUUGCAGAACAGCUUGAAGACAUAUCCAGGCUUGUUUGCAUGAUGCUGCUAGAAUAUUACCGUUCUUUCCUAUGAAUCCCUGAAUUCUCUCAACAUCCCCUUGCCAGGGAAACUCUAGGCAUUUAUCAGGAGUCAUCUUGUGUGAUUACCACACUCAUCUUCCUUCACUUCCACUAGCUUACGUUAGGAGACACCUGCUAACAGCCUCCAGAGUAUCUGAUACUUCCCCAGGAACAUUCCUCUCACCGUACGAUGAUUGUUUGCUCAACCUGCUGACAUCUCCAUCACACUGUGGGCUCCCUAAGGGCUGGGCUGUAUCUGUCUUGCUCCCCACUGUGCAUAAUGUCUGGCACAUAGCACAAUAAGAGCUCCAAAUAGUUUGUGAAUAAAUGGAAUGAGUGUCUUUGCCCUCUCUCCGAGGGCUUAAGUCGCUGGAGGUCAACAAUCCAGCUAUGCUAACCAAGUUUCCUUGAUUCAUCUCGGGUCACUAGCUCAAACCUAUCAAGAAAGAAACAGGCGUUUCUGUGCAGCUAACACAGAGGUGCUCACAAAUCCAUUUAUUUGUUUCACAAAUAUUUAUGGAACGCCCUCUAUGGGCCAGGCUUGUGCUAGGUGCUAGAAUAGAACCGCGAGCAAAACUAGACAAGGCCACUGCCCUCCCGGAGCAUAGAGUUUUAGGAGACAGAUGUUAACAAAUAAUUAUGCGAACGAGAAAUCAGAAAUGUGAAGUAAACUAUUAAACUUGCGAAAUUUAGACAGUUAAAUGAUGCCAAGCGUUGUGUGGAUGUAAACAUCUAGAAAUCUUUAUGUUCUAAUGGGGGGGACUGUUGUAGACUGGUACAUUCUGGAAACACCUGGAAUUGUAUGAUCAACGUAACUGUAUGCAUGCCGUAUGGUCCAGUAAUUCCCCCCAACAAAUUGUUGUAUGGGCCCAAAGGAUAUGGAUAAAUAGACAGAUACAUAUUCAUUUCAAUAUUACUUGUGGUGUUGAAGAGUUAGACACAAACUAGUGUCCAACUAGAAGGAAGAAUAGGAAAAAUCUAAGAGAUAUAUUCCAUGAAGAUACCCAAUGGUUGGAAGCUAGAUCAGAGCAAACUGUGGUUGAUGUGUGAAAUAUGGCCCACCUCCUAUUGUUUGGGAUUUUUGUAAAUAAAAUUUUAUUGCAACAUGA